GCUUAUUGUAUUUAUUUUUACCAGAAGUCUCACCUAAUGCUCCAAUUUAUUUCUAAAAGAUUUUUAUUGAUUUAAUUGUUUUCUAGGUACACAGAUAAAUCUCAUAGUCCUCUUUUGGACCUGGCUUUCUGACUGGGCCAGCCUCUAUACCUGG
rnacentral:lncRNA from 1 species